UAUGUGGAGAAUAGACUUUCAAACAUUAAGAGUGGAAGCAAGGAGAGACUCGAACGCUCCUGCAGAAGCCUAGUCAAGGCUGUGGAGGCUUGGGAAGCUAUGUCUGUCUGAAUGGAGUGUGAAGUGACUGGCUUCAGGAUAUGUUUUGAGGAGAGCAUCACAAGGCUUGCUGAUGGUCUGGGGUGCCACUUGAGGACAGAGGAGAGUGAAGGAUGAUGUUUAGGGUUAUGGCCAACCUGGUGUCAUUGAUCGAGAUGGAAAUUUGGGGGAGAGAUAAAGAGUUGUAUGCCAGAAGUCAUGUUUGAAUUGCCUAUUUAGAUAGCCAAACAGGUGAAAUGAGUAGGCAGGUGUUUCUACAAAUUAGAGAGAUGGUUAGGGCUGAGCAUACACAUCAUCAAUUCAGUCAUCUGUAUGUAAAGUGGUUUAAAACUGUGAACUAGAACAGAGUUGCACAACGUAACAGGCACUAUUUUGUACCAGGUAAGUGUCUAUUGGGAAAGGGUGUUCUUUGCAUUGUAGGAUGUCUAUAGCUGCAUCGCUGGCCUUGACACCCUACAUGCCCACAGCAUUUCCUAAAGCUGUGACAAAACUGUCUCCAGAGAUUGCCAGGUGACCUCCAGAGGGAGAGUUGUUGCAAGGUGCAGCUGGAGAAGAGAGAUGGCCUGCGCUGGAGCCCCCACGGCCUGUGGAGCAGAGGAGCCAGCACAGGGUAGGGGGCAACCAGUGAGCUGGCAGAGAGGGGACACUGGGAGCCUGUGUCAUAGCAGCUGGACUGGUUACAGUCAUUGAGAAUUUGAGUAAGAUGAGGAAAAAGCACUGACCACUGGGGUUGGCAAGAUGGAGGGUCUCAGGGACUUAACAAGACAAAUCUUAAUGUGAUGGAGGGGACAAAGAGCCAUUGACUGGGUGAUGAUGAAGUGGGGCGGGUGUGGAGAGAUGACACAGGAAGCACAGUCAGCCUUUUGGAGGAGUUUUGUUGAAGAGAAAAACAGAGAAAUGGUGUGAUGAAGAAAAUGGAGAAUGUGGGUAGGAAGGAAUUUUUUAAACAUGCACUGGAGAGUGGAAUCAUUACAGAAAUGAAGUCCUUGGGGGACUAAUUAGCACACGAUCACAUCCUACUCAGGUACCAACGCCUUCAACAACUGCAUUCCCCCCACGAUCCCCGCAGCUUUGCCUAGAUGUGCCCUGCAUCGCAGGUGCAUUACCCAGGAAGAGCUCGUCGGGGCAGCACCUAACUGACAGGUAACUUCGCUGUUUUAGUUUCGAAGUCAUUAGUCUUGCGAAGCUGCGAGAGCACAACGGCGCUGACGCACUGCCCACGGCCUUUCCUGAGGAGCUGGCGACACCGCGGAUGUGAACGAGCCCAGAGUUUGCUACUCUUGUCCCCUGGACUCAGAAGGAGCGGAAUUCUCUCUUCCUCCAGGGCACUCCGGGCCAGAUGCACACCAGGGCGGGUGUUACUCGAGCUAACGAACUACAGGAGGAAAAGCAGCAACCACAAACUCGGGGCAAACCAAGCUUCUUAUCAGAAGAAAUCUUCAGAAAUGAUGGGUUUGAUCCACAGCGAGGGCGCUUCCUUCACCUCAGACUGCUUAAGUAAAGCAGUUUGAGCCCAGUGACAACUGUGACAGGCGGGGAAGGAUCUCCCUGCUUUGUGGCUCUCAGCUGUGUCAAGCAGGAGCCUCGGGCCCCAGGGCGUAUGUGUGGAUCUCCAGGGGCGCCUCAACACUCUGUGGCUCCCCAGGCUCUCACUUUUGGAGAUGCCCUCCAUGCCCAUCAAACAGACUGGAGGUGGAGAGGUGCCCCGGCAAUGAACUCUCACAGCCUGGCGUGGGAGCCUGGCCUCCUACCCACUCCUUAGGAAUGCUUUAUUUAUAACCCGAUGCAGAAGUACUUACUGAGGCCCAGAUAAUCUGGCUUUCCCCCCCCCCCCCCUCAAUUAUUCAUGAGAUUUAGGCAAAAUUGCAUAUUUUUUAAUUUCAUCUUUUUGGUAUAAAUUACUGAAAUCGCAGGCAAAGAAUCCAUCCAGGAUCUGUUUGCUAGAAGCCUCUCUAGGUUAGCUCCGCAUCAUUACAACUACUUCUCUUUGAACUUUGAGAAUGGAGAAUCCUGAAAAUUUGACAGUUGGUGGCAAUUUAUGUAACUUGUUCUAUUACUGUUGGCAGAAUGUGGGAAAACAUUGGAAUGAAAAUCUGAAUCUAUAAUACACACACACACACACACACACACACACACACACACACACGUUUAUAUAAUGUCUCAACAGCAGCAAAAGACAGACGGGACCAUGCUGGGACCAGAGAGGGAUCCGAGGUCAUUUGCUGAAUGGGGCUUACCGCUCAGGCACACUUCAUUUUUAUUCCUUAGUUAUUAAUUAGUGUCUAACUACCAGUGAGUACGUGAAACCCUGGCCUGCCUCCCUCCUUCCUCUGUGCCCUCUCACCUGCUACCCUGGCUCUGGUGUCACUGGGGACAGCUCUGGUCACCAGCUCCCUAGCACACACAUGUCUCCUGAGCUACAGGAACUACAGACCCAGAAAUGUUGAUUCCACCCACCUCCCCUUGGCCCGCUGAAAUCUCUGUGUGUGCGCUCACCAUCCCUCCGCCGGACACCCCUCUACCUUUGCUGGCUAUUCCAACUCUUGCCCUUCAAAGUCGGGCGCCAACCCCACCUUGGGAAAGGCUCUGCCAUGACUGCCCUACCUAACUCCUCUGCCUCUGACUUCACAGCUUGGCCUCUAGGAGUGUGGCCAUGUCCGUCUCACUAAGCCAAUGCUCCUUAGUUAUCAAGGGGUAGAAAUAGCAACUAACCUUUGUAAUGAGCUUUGGAUAUAUAAAGCCUUUGCAUACAUUUGACCCUUCAGAGACCCCUCAAGGUGGGUUAACAUCCCAUUUUCCACACAUGUAAACAGAACGGUUCAAGUAGCUGGUCCCAAGUGACACAAGUGAUGUGGUGAUACUGAGGCUAGGUGAGUCAGAUCUACAGGCUCAGGCACUUAUAGGGCAUGGUAUCCCUCCCCACCCCCCUCUUGAGUGUGGGGUCUUGGCUCGUUCCUCUCUUUCUCCCCCAAGCACCUGUGGCUGUUGGUAAAUAUUUGUUGAAUUGAACUGGGGCAGGAGGUAGAUAAGAAAGGGGUCUGUGAGCUGGGUGAUCGAAUCCCACAUCAUGCUUGAAGGUCACAAGAAAACUCUCUUUACACAGCUAGAUCUCCUACAAGCCUCCCGACAAGGGGCUGUUCUCUCUUGUGCCAGAAGCACUUGCAUUCCUCUGUGGCUCUGUUUCUAAAGAAACCGGGACGUGGAUGUAUGCCAGCAGAUAGCAGGACUGAGAAACACCCCAGUGUGAAACUACUGAUAUUUGAGAUGUCCUGAUCCUUUGAAAAAUUACAUGUGCUAAUAAGAAUUAAUAAAACGUAUGCACUCCAGUGAAGUAUAAAGACAGGUUUAUGAUGAACUGUUUCUGUAAAUUAAAAGUUUUCAAGAAUACUG